GUCUACAGCCAUGCUACCCCGAAUAAGCUCAAUCCCAUCUGAUCUCGGAAGCGAAGCACAGUCGGGCAUGGUUAGUAAUUGGAUGGGAGACCACCUAGGAAGACCAGGUGCUGUAGGCA
rnacentral:rRNA from 1 species